rnacentral:rRNA from 1 species
GGGUGAGGAAUACAUGGGAAUCUGCCCAGUCGUGGGGGAUAACGUAGGGAAACUUACGCUAAUACCGCAUGCGCCCUUCGAGGGAAAGCCGGGGACCUUCGGGCCUGGCGCGAUUGGAUGAGCCCAUGUCGGAUUAGCUAGUUGGCGGGGUAACGGCCCACCAAGGCGACGAUCCGUAGCUGGUCUGAGAGGACGAUCAGCCACACUGGAACUGAGACACGGUCCAGACUCCUACGGGAGGCAGCAGUAGGGAAUAUUGGACAAUGGGCGCAAGCCUGAUCCAGCCAUGCCGCGUGAGUGAAGAAGGCCUUCGGGUUGUAAAGCUCUUUUGUCCGGAAAGAAAAGCUUCGGGUCAAUACCCCGGAGUCCUGACGGUACCGGAAGAAUAAGCACCGGCUAACUUCGUGCCAGCAGCCGCGGUAAUACGAAGGGUGCAAGCGUUACUCGGAAUUACUGGGCGUAAAGCGUGCGUAGGUGGUUUGUUAAGUCUGAUGUGAAAGCCCUGGGCUCAACCUGGGAAUGGCAUUGGAUACUGGCAGGCUAGAGUGCGGUAGAGGGUAGUGGAAUUCCCGGUGUAGCAGUGAAAUGCGUAGAGAUCGGGAGGAACAUCUGUGGCGAAGGCGACUACCUGGACCAGCACUGACACUGAGGCACGAAAGCGUGGGGAGCAAACAGGAUUAGGUACCCUGGUAGUCCACGCCGUAAACGAUGUCAACUAGCCGUUGGGCUCCUUGAGGGUCUAGUGGCGCAGCUAACGCGAUAAGUUGACCGCCUGGGGAGUACGGCCGCAAGGUUAAAACUCAAAUGAAUUGACGGGGGCCCGCACAAGCGGUGGAGCAUGUGGUUUAAUUCGAUGCAACGCGAAGAA